CUAAGAAUAUUCCGUAAUGGACGAAAGUCUGACGGAGCGACGCCGCGUGGAUGAAGAAGGCCGCAAGGUUGUAAAAUCCUUUUGCUGGGGAAGAAUAAGUCCAGGAGGGAAUGCCUGGAUGAUGACAUGAACCGGCGAAUAAGCCCCGGCCAACUACGUGCCAGCAGCCGCGGUAACACGUAGGGGGCAAGCGUUGUUCGGAAUUACUGGGCGUAAAGGGCAUGUAGGCGGUCUAGUAAGCUUGGCGUGAAAGACCACAGCUCAACUGUGGGGUUGCGUUGAGAACUGCUGAACUUGAGUUACGGAGAGGGAGCUAGAAUUCCUGGUGUAGGUGUGGAAUCUGUAGAGAUCAGGAAGAAUACCGAUGGCGAAGGUAAGCUUCUGGCCGAUAACUGACGCUGAGAUGCGAAAGUGUGGGGAUCAAACA
rnacentral:rRNA from 1 species